rnacentral:pre_miRNA from 1 species
UUUGGGGGAAGUAGUGGUUCGUUGGGUUGGGAAAAAAGACAUUAUCUCUUGAGGUAAAAUUAGGUUUGUUUCCUUUUACUCCCAAAAUCUUUUUAUCGUGGGUAAAAAGAAUCACCAUGAGGUAUAAAAUGAACCAAAUUUAAAUUUAACUCAAGGGAUCUUGAUGUCGUUUUUCCAAACAGGACGGAUCAUUAUUUUCCUCAAA